AUAAUAAAAAUAGGAAGUACAGUUUGCAGUGAAAAUAGAACGAAACAGAACCUCAAUGUUAAUUUGGUAGAACAUCAGCCGUGUCUGCCCCUUUGGGACCCCCCUGGACAUCCCUCAGCCAGGGGCCUCAUCGGCAUCAGCAAUGCCCUCUCCUGCAAGGAUCCAGAAACACCAAGCCUAGAAAACGGCUGCAGCAUGGUGGGGCUGUGGUGAAUGUAGCUCUAUCGGAGAUGGUACGCUCCAUGCAGUAUGGAAACUGCACAGUGUCUACAGUGAAUUGCAAGGGGUCCUUCCCAAUGUGACGGUCACUCUCUCGCUGCGACCCAAUGGCUCACCACUGCUGGAUGUCCUGGUCCAUCCUUGUGUGUCUUCACUGGAUGCCUCUGGCCCCUACAAGUUCCCCUUCUCCCAUUGAGUCGUUCAGGUCCCCGUGCCACCCAUCCUCCCUGUCAGUUGAAGGAGUAUGACAACCAGCUGCAUUUGACUGUGAGGAACAGCUCUGAGUACUGUGAGGCACAUCUGCCGUUCUUUAACAGGCCAGAAGUUCCCCAAGUCCAGUGAGGUGUCACUAGACAGCACUGAGUUUCUUAGGGCAGUUCCCAGGACCUACAGAUCCUCUCUGCACAGACCUUACAGUCUACAUCAAACAACUGGACAACAGGAUUCUGGUGACCAGGUUUGAAUCUGUGAAACAGACAGCAUCCAACGUUAUGAACCCAAUGGUCAAAGUACUGUAACUGAAUGGUUUGUUUCUGCUGUUGUUCUUACAGUCUCGGUCUCUUCUAAGAUGCAAAAUGCUGUUUCUCAUCUGUUCUGAACACAGACCAAUCCCUUUUUUUGUGAAAGAAUGUGCCUUAAUGAAUAGAGAUAAUGGUUAUUUAACUGAAUUCUAGUAAUUCGAGUAGUACUACUGGAUACAGAUAUUGAAAUGUAAAAAAUGGUAUUGAUGCUGCCAUUUUUGGAACUUGUUUGGCCAUCCCACUCCACAUCUCUUUAGAGUGUUGCCACCCUUAGCUCUGACAGUCCUACUUCAGUCCCACCCCUCCAUCAGCCGGAUAAUUAGCAGCUGGGGCCUUGUUGUCAGCUGGAGCUGAGGGCCUGUGGGAGACGGGGCUUGGGCUGUGAAAGGGUAAGCUGAUCUGGGCAGAGUCUGUGCCACAAAGGGCCCCUCUGGAGAACUGGCAGGACUCACUGGUUCCUCCCUGUGACUGCCCUGCCUGUCAGCCAGUGGUCUCUUCAAAUACCCAGCCUCUCCACUGAACCGCCCUCUAAAAAGUAGAGGCCCCAGCUGGCCAGAUGACUGGCUAAUUGGAGAAACUGGGUGUGGUGGCAUUAAAUAUUACAUGACAAAAAUAGGUUUAGCGUAGGGGUCCGGAUUCAGGUCUUAAUUGCAAUUUGAUUAGAGUAGAGCUCAUCCAUGCAUGACCAUGAUAAAAAAAAACUGUAAAUUAAAAGAAAAUGCAUCGGCAUGUCUACAAAAUGUAACAAAAAAGUGAACGAAGCUGUUUCCCAAGACACACUAUAUGUAGACCCGGUUUUUAGUAAGGAAGGUACACUGAACAAAAAUAUAAACACAAAUUAAUUUGGCCCUAAUCUAUGGAUUUCACAUGACUGGGCCUGGGAGGGCCACCUGGGAGGGUCCACCCCCUGGGGAGCCAGGCCCAGCCUAUAAGAAUACGUUUUAUCCCACAAAAGGGCUUUGUUACAGAAAGAAAUGCUCAUCAGUUUCAUCAGAUGUCCGGGUGGCUAGUCUCAGAUGAUCAGGCAGGUCAAUAAGCCGGAUGUGGAGGUCCUGGGUUGUCAUGGUUACACGUGGUCUGCGCUUGUGAGGCCAGUUGGACGUACUGCCAAAUUCUCUAAAACGAUGUUGGAGGUGGCGUAUGGGAGAUAAAUUAACAUUCAGUUCUCUGGCAAGAGCUCUGGUGGACAUUCCUGCAUUCAGCAUGCCAAUUGCAUGCUCCCUCAACUUGAGACAUUUGUGGCAUUGUGUUGUGACAAAACUGUGGCCUUUUAUUGUCCCCAGCAAUAAAAGAGUGGCCUUUUAUUGUCCCCAGCACACAGAGCACCUGUGUAAUGAUCAUGCUGUUUAAUGAGCUUCUUGAUAGAUGGAUUAUCUUGGCAAAGGAGAAAUGCUCACUAACCGGGAUGUAAACACAUUUGUGCACAAUAUCUGAGAGAAAUAAGCUUUUUGUGCAUUUUCAACAUGUUGCAUUUAUAUUUUUGUCCAGUGUAUAUAUAAUGGUCAUAUAGACACUGCUAGGUAUGUGCACAUCUGGUAGUUGAAGAGUUAAAACAGCGGGAGAUUGUGAUCCACUGUGAGUGUGUUCCACUGUAGCCAGAUUCCUCUGAGUGCUCUAUUGUCCAGCACUGGCCUCUCUUGCCCUCUUGCUGGUGCAAUAGCCACAUUCUCACCAGGAUUUCCACCCAGGAGACUGACCAUGACCAAUCCUCUGUCAAUUGGAACCAAUUGCUUUAUUAAAGUCCCCAGCUACAAUAAAUGCAGUCUCAGGAUAGGCAGUUUCCAGUUUGCAUGAAGUCCAGAGCCGUCAUGGUGUCGGCUUGAGGGGAAAUAUACGCGGCUGUGACGACGAACAAAGAACAUUUUCUUGGGAGGUAAUGUGGUCAACAUUUGAUAGUAAGGUAUUCCAGAUCGGCAAAACAAAAGGACUUGAGUUCCUUUACGUUACCACAAUAACACCAUGAGUAGUUAAAUCAUGAAACAUAUACCUCCGCUUUUUUCCUGGAGACCUAUUUUAUUCCUGUCUGCACGAUGUACUGAGAACCCCGCUGGCUGAAUGGAUAUCCAAAGAAAGCCAUGAUUCCAUGAAUGUUACAGUCCCUGAUGUAUCUCUAGAAGGAGAUCUUCACCCUGAACUUGUCUACUUUAUUGUCCAGGGACUGAACAUUAGCGUGUAAUAUGCUCGGAAGCAGUGGAUGGAAUGCACACCUUCUGAGUCGAACUAAAAUCUCACUUCAUAUUCCUCUUCUCCGUCAGUGGAGUCUUAGAGCAGCCCAUGGUGAAAGAAACGUUCUUAGCAAAUAAUGUAAGAAAUAAACACACAAAAAAAUACUACAAAGUUAGCUAGGUGCUAGGAACAGGGCGACCAUGUCUAUUGGUGCCAUCUUUUUCAUCUCACCACCAGUGGGUGCUGCAGCACCUCCAGCACCUGUACUUCCCACAGCUAUGGUGAGAUGCAAGACUUCACUCUCACACAGUCACACACAGUACCUGUGCAUGUGCACAGUUUUGCUUCAUGCUCUUACAGCGUCUGAGCCACAGGACCAAAACAGUCGAAAAGUUGAGCCUUGAGCUUCUAUACUCUUAGUUGUUGCGGAAAUUGACCCACUAUGCUGUUUACCUUCUUUGUCUACGUCAUAUUGCUGAGUAUGCCUUUAAUCUCCUUAGGCUUCGAUCACACCGACAGCAUCAUUGCACAAAAUAGUACGCAGCAUCAUCUGGAUAUGUAUGCAACAAACAAUCAACAUUCACCUUCUGCUACAAUUUAUGACAAGCCAUUUACGCAUACAGUUUGACGCAUAUGUCGAUAAAUCCAAUGUAUGCACCACACCGAACACUGCAAAUGCCUCUGCAACACAAUGCUGCAAGGCGAACACAGCGUUUCAUUGGAAAUUUAUGUAAUUCUGGUGUACCAAAAUGCAACGACAGUGUCCGGACGAAGUGCUACCCUCACACUGUCAAGCCUUCUACGACGUCCAGUGGUAUGGAUGGAGAACAUGUUUUUGAGCUCUGUCUCUUUGACACACUAAACAAAAAACGUAAUUUAGAUUUAUAGAUAUGUAAUUUUAUUUCUGCAUUCAAUUAUUUCAUAAAAUGUGUAGACUUAUUGAUAGUACACUGUUCCAAAGAUUUUUAUGCGACUCCUCAGCAAAUUGACUUCUAUGAGUGUCGUAAAGUUGUUUUUCAUGGGACAGUGAGCCCAAGGGCCGGUAUUUAUAUGCCCUCCAAAGAGAGUACGGUGGACCAAGAUUCAAAGGUCAGAUUAGGAAGGAAGAGGUGGUGUUUGCUCGGUUGCGCCUUAGACAUUGUACAUUGAACUCAUCAAUACAUCUGGUUGGCAAUCA